ACAGUUUGAUAAAUCUGGGCCAUUGUGUCUGGCCACAUGGAAUGCUGGGAAAGGUCAGAGACAACCCUUCCACUACAGCACUUCUGGGUGUGGGUCUCGUGCAUAAAAGCAGGACAAAGCUGUGCAAUGAGCCAUUUAGCCCCAAGACAAGCGCAGAUCCUUCCUAAGCAUGUUCAUCACUGUCUGCCAGUCUGCAGGAGACAUUGUCAUGGUGGUCUGCCCUGGAUGAAGAAUAAUGGGGAAGAGAACAUCUACAAUCAGAGAAGACAUCACUUGAGAGUCACUGAAUGAAAUUGUUGUGUAAAUUUAACCUCUCAUUGUCAUGUCAUGUAUGCAGGAGUCUCAGCACCACCGAUUGCUAGGCAUAGCUGGGUGAAGCGCUUAAUCCGUCUCUUUGCACAUAUUCAAAGAAUUUUGCCCCCCAAAAAAUAUAUUUUGCGCCAAUAUUUUGGCACGAAAAGUAUCGACCACAUUUUCAAAGAGCUUUGUGCUACGGUUUACACUGUUCACUUCAGUUUUGUAAAAGUGGGUGUGUCCAUGUAUAUUGUCUGCUUUACAUGAUAUUUUCAAAGGGAUGAGAGUCCAGUUUACAUCAAAAAUUUCACACCAGCUUUUUGAUGUGUUAUU